CACGGCUCGGGUCCCGCAUUGCGGCGGCUGUGGCNAGCUGCGGUGUAGGUCGCAGACACGGCUCGGAUCCCGCAUCGCGGCAGCUGUGGCGUAGGCUGGCGGCGACAGCUCUGAUUCGACCCCUAGCCUGGGAACCUUGGGGGCAGCCCCCCGCCAAAAAAGACAACAAAUAUAUACAUACAAAUACUCUUAAAAUGCAACAAGAAACCAAACCGACUAAGAAGCGGGCCAGUGAUCUUAACAGACACGCCCUCAGAGGAGACAGCGUGAAGGCCACCGUGAAAAGUUGCUCCACGUUAUAGGUCGUCAGGUAAACGCAGAUUGAAACGCCUGCGAGACCAGCAAACUCCGGAACCCGGAUGCCCCCGCACACUGGCGGGGACGUGGGGCCCCAGGAGCGCGUGUUCACCGCCAGGGGCGCGCGACACGGGGCCGCCGCCUGGGGGGACAGAUGGGCGGUUUCUCGCAGUUAAACACGCUCUUGGCCACAGGAGCAGCUCGGCUCCCCUGAUCCUUGGCACUCACCCCCUAGAGCUGAAAACGUGGUGCUGAUGCUGACGCUCGGAGCUGGGGUGUCCUCACAGUCUCUCUGGGAGGGGCAGCCCUUGGCCAGCGCCCAGAGGCCAGCGCCCAGAGGCCAGCACCCACAGGCCAGCGCCCAGAGGCCAGCGCCCAGAGAUUUCAGAGCAGCGCUAAUCCCAACAUCCAAAAAUGGAGACAAGCCAGGGUCUGUCGGCCGAUGCUGGGUGAACAAGGCGUGGUCAGGGCAACAGUGGCUCCACUGAGCCCCAGAAAGAAGGAAGCCCGGAUGCCAGGAGAAGGAGCCUGGCAAACACAGUGUCAGUGAGAGAUGCCAGUCACGGGGGCCACCGACUGUAUGAUUGCGUUGACAUGAAACACCCAGAACGGGCAAACCCACUUAAAGAGAGAGCCGGCUGCCGCGGGCAGGGCACUGGGAGAGGGGCCUAAGCGGGGCCGGUGUCCCUCGAAGACGAUGAAUGGUCUAAAACGGAUCACGCUGGUGGCUGCCCAGCUCCGUGAAUAUACCAAAAGCUGUUGAUUUGCACACUUUAAGUGGGUGGAUUGUGUGGCUUGGGACUUACUUCUCUCUAGAGCUGUUAUGAAAUGGAAAUGCUGUUAAUAACACCUGCCUCUUGGUGAUGAAAUGAGGCGACACAGGCACCAGGCCUGGCACACAGCGACCCUCGGCCGGAGCACCUGCAGGCUCGCGGCUGGGUGUGGUCCAGCGACAGCAGCAGCCCUGCAUUUCUAGCAGGGUCUUGGGCUGCCCCGGUGCCUCAGCAUCCAGGUUUUAGCAGCUGCCCAGGUGGGUCCUGGGCAGGUAAAUUUGGAAAGCACCAAACAUCUAGGAUACCUCUGCCAUCACACCAGGGCACACUCUCAAACUGAGAGAGCCCAUCAGAACCCAGGGGGCUGGGGCCCACCUGCAGGCUUUCUGAUGAUUCUAGGCUCUGGGGCUGCCCUGAGAAUAUGCAUCCUAACGCCUCCCCAGGUGCUGCUGCUGCUGGUCCAGUGCCCUCACCUCCCUGGGGACCGAGUGAAGGCCUGAAGGACACUGGGUAUGACCAGGGCCUCACGUCACAUGCGGUCCAGGCUUGGACCCCGAGAGCCCCACUUCCAGCC
rnacentral:lncRNA from 1 species